UACAGAGGGGGCAAGCGUUAUUCGGAAUUAUUGGGCGUAAAGGGCGCGUAGGCGGCCAUUCAAGUGACGGGUGAAAGCCCUCGGCUUAACCGAGGAACUGCCUGUCAGACUGUAAGGCUUGAGACCGGGAGAGGUGAGUGGAAUUCCCAGUGUAGCGGUGAAAUGCGUAGAUAUUGGGAGGAACACCAGUGGCGAAGGCGGCUCACUGGACCGGAACUGACGCUGAGGCGCGAAAGCGUGGGGAGCAAACAGG
rnacentral:rRNA from 1 species